CUCCUUUUCAGAAGAAUCCUCUAUGGAUAAGAUGGAUGACAUCCCAAGCAAAGGUGGGCUGCUUCAGGGAAUCAAUCACACCUGCAACCACAAGUGAUAUUAAGGCCAUGUACUGUGGUAUACAUAUGCUGUUCCAAAUGGACCUGUUUAUUAUCUGAGAGGUGUUGAGCAUGCACUUGAGCAGGAUCAAGGCAGUAGAGGAGGACAUUCAAAUAUGGUGCUUGGUUCAAGCUC